AUCCUUUUGUAGUUCAUGAGUGUGAUGAUUGGGUGUUUCACGAUGCUGCGUGACAUGUGCCUCCCUGCAAACCUUGUUAUGACACCAGCACGGUACCUGUACGACU
rnacentral:snoRNA from 1 species